AUUGAACGCUGGCGGAAUGCUUUACACAUGCAAGUCGAACGGUAGAGGGGGCAACCCCUCGAGAGUGGCGAACGGGUGAGUAAUAUAUCGGAACGUGCCCAGUCGUGGGGGAUAACGUAGCGAAAGUUACGCUAAUACCGCAUACGAUCUAAGGAUGAAAGCGGGGGAUCGCAAGACCUCGCGCGAUUGGAGCGGCCGACAUCAGAUUAGGUAGUUGGUGGGGUAAAGGCUCACCAAGCCAACGAUCUGUAGCUGGUCUGAGAGGACGACCAGCCACACUGGAACGGAGACACGGUCCAGACGCCGACGGGAGGCAGCAGUGGGGAAUUUUGGACAAUGGACGCAAGUCUGAUCCAGCCAUUCCGCGUGCAGGAUGAAGGCCCUCGGGUUGUAAACUGCUUUUGUACGGAACGAAAAGGUCUCUCUUAAUACGGGGGACUCAUGACGGUACCGUAAGAAUAAGCACCGGCUAACUACGUGCCAGCCGCCGCGGUAA
rnacentral:rRNA from 1 species